rnacentral:rRNA from 1 species
CAUGCAAGUCGAGCGGAUGAAGGGAGCUUGCUCCUGGAUUCAGCGGCGGACGGGUGAGUAAUGCCUAGGAAUCUGCCUGGUAGUGGGGGAUAACGUCCGGAAACGGGCGCUAAUACCGCAUACGUCCUGAGGGAGAAAGUGGGGGAUCUUCGGACCUCACGCUAUCAGAUGAGCCUAGGUCGGAUUAGCUAGUUGGUGGGGUAAAGGCCUACCAAGGCGACGAUCCGUAACUGGUCUGAGAGGAUGAUCAGUCACACUGGAACUGAGACACGGUCCAGACUCCUACGGGAGGCAGCAGUGGGGAAUAUUGGACAAUGGGCGAAAGCCUGAUCCAGCCAUGCCGCGUGUGUGAAGAAGGUCUUCGGAUUGUAAAGCACUUUAAGUUGGGAGGAAGGGCAGUAAGUUAAUACCUUGCUGUUUUGACGUUACCAACAGAAUAAGCACCGGCUAACUUCGUGCCAGCAGCCGCGGUAAUACGAAGGGUGCAAGCGUUAAUCGGAAUUACUGGGCGUAAAGCGCGCGUAGGUGGUUCAGCAAGUUGGAUGUGAAAUCCCCGGGCUCAACCUGGGAACUGCAUCCAAAACUACUGAGCUAGAGUACGGUAGAGGGUGGUGGAAUUUCCUGUGUAGCGGUGAAAUGCGUAGAUAUAGGAAGGAACACCAGUGGCGAAGGCGACCACCUGGACUGAUACUGACACUGAGGUGCGAAAGCGUGGGGGAGCAAACAGGAUUAGAUACCCUGGUAGUCCACGCCGUAAACGAUGUCGACUAGCCGUUGGGAUCCUUGAGAUCUUAGUGGCGCAGCUAACGCGAUAAGUCGACCGCC